rnacentral:lncRNA from 1 species
CUCGCCACAGUUGGGCGUCUGGGAGGGGCAGCACUUUUCUUGCCCUUCCUUCGAAGGUCGGCCUCUGGAUCCUCCUGAACCUCCUCCUCCGUCGGAGGCUGAAGUCUCUUACUGGCCUCCACCAGCUCCUCCAUUUGCUUCUUAUAUGAAGAGGAGGAGGCCUUCAGUGCCCUUGCUUCAGCCAUCAUUUUCUGAAUAGUUUUGAAGUCAGGGCGUACUGGCAGCUUCUUGUUGAAGUUAUCUGCAAAGAAACGAGUGAGGAAUUAAUACAAGUAUAGGGAGUUCAGGUUAAAAGAGUGUGGGCUUCGGUCCUAUUACCUUGGGACGCCAUUGAGUCGUGAGUGACGAAGUGUAUGUUUUUCCGAAUGAGCCUGUGAUAUGACCUCUUCUUCUGAGCCAGUUGAUAAAUAACGCAAAUAAUGUCGAAGUCCUCUGUCGACAGCUCGCACCGAGGGAGGGAACCUACGAAAAGAAACAUCUGUUAAACACAAGCCCGACCGAAGAGAAAUAAAAUAUCAACUACUAUACUCACUAAGUGUUGAAAACUUCGCCGGGACUGUAAGAGGCGCCAGGGGGUCCCCCUCCAUUGUGUCCCAUCGCCCCGCUGCCCAGCACCAAGAGCUCUUCCAUUCCUUGAUGGAGCUCGGCAGAUCGAUCACAAAUGGAGUGUGGGAACCCCAUGACGUCAGGUAGUACCAGCCCCGGGUCUUAUCCCCCCGGCAGUAACCUUGGGUAUGUAAAGAGUUUGGAAAACGGAAAGGGGCAUCUCCACUCCUAACGACGCCUCUUUCCACAACAUCCAGGAGCCCACCAUCUGGCUCCAGGAGUUCGGAUUGAGCUGCGUCGGGGCUAGCCCGUAAGACCUAAGCACCAACCUAAAGAACGGGUGAAUAGGCAGCCUAAGUCCG